rnacentral:ncRNA from 1 species
CUAAGAGUGCAGCUGUGGCUGUAGCCGUGAGUCGUUCGCGUGGAAGAGGAAAGACCGUUCAACUUCUGUCCUGUGUGAUUUCGAGGUCGGCUCCGAUCAGGCGCUGUGCAAGAGGCAGUGUCACCAGGGGAAAUAAAAACGUGCUGCGUCUUCGGAUGUGGUGGGCGCAUUCACGAGGGUGUGUCUCAUUUUAAAUUUCUGGGAUGAUUGACAGAUUGAGCGCUCUUUGUGGUGGAGCGAUUUGUCUGGUUAAUUCCGAUAACGAACUAGACUCUAGUCUAUUAAAAAGGUGCUUGGUUCUCUGCACCUUGAACCCUUUUCAGAGGGACACGCGGCUCCUAGUCGCACGAAACGGAGCAAUGACAGGUCUGUAAAGCCCUUAGAUGUCCGGGGCCGCACGCACCCUAUACUGAAGAAAGCAGCGUGUUUUUAUCUAUGUAUGUUAAGACAGUAUGCU